UGGGGAAUAUUGGACAAUGGGCGAAAGCCUGAUCCAGCGACGCCGCGUGAAGGAAGAAGUCCUUCGGGAUGUAAACUUCUGAACUAAUCGAAUAAAAGGGUAGUGGACACACUACAGAAGAAGGUAGAUUAGGAAAAGUCCCGGCUAACUACGUGCCAGCAGCCGCGGUAAGACGUAGGGGGCGAGCGUUGCCCGGAAUCACUGGGUGUAAAGGGGACGUAGGCGGAUGAUCAAGUCAUCUGUGAAAAGAUUGCUCAACGAUUGGCUUGCGGAUGAAACUGGUCAUCUUGGGCGUAGCAGAGGUAGACGGAAUUACCUGAGUAGGGGUGAAAUCCGCAGAUACAGGUAAGAACGCCGGUGAAGAAGUUGGUCUACUAGGCUACAGCUGACGCUGAGGUCCGAAAGCCAGGGGAGCGAACC
rnacentral:rRNA from 1 species